rnacentral:rRNA from 1 species
AGUGAACGCUGGCGGUAGGCCUAACACAUGCAAGUCGAACGGCAGCACAGUAAGAGCUUGCUCUUACGGGUGGCGAGUGGCGGACGGGUGAGGAAUACAUCGGAAUCUACUUUUUCGUGGGGGAUAACGUAGGGAAACUUACGCUAAUACCGCAUACGACCUACGGGUGAAAGCAGGGGAUCUUCGGACCUUGCGCGAUUGAAUGAGCCGAUGUCGGAUUAGCUAGUUGGCGGGGUAAAGGCCCACCAAGGCGACGAUCCGUAGCUGGUCUGAGAGGAUGAUCAGCCACACUGGAGGUGAGACAGGGUCCAGACGCCUACGGGAGGCAGCAGUGGGGAAUAUUGGACAAUGGGCGCAAGCCUGAUCCAGCCAUACCGCGUGGGUGAAGAAGGCCUCCGGGUUGUAAAGACCUUUUGUUGGGAAAGAAAAGCAGCAGGUUAAGACCCCGCUGUUCUGACGGUACCCAAAGAAGAAGCACCGGCUAACUUCGUG